CAUGAUUUUUUUAGAUGACGAGUCUGAUAGGU
rnacentral:snoRNA from 1 species